rnacentral:rRNA from 1 species
UNUGACUUGAGUGCAGAAGGGGAGAGUGGAAUUNCAUGUGUAGCGGUGAAAUGCGUAGAUAUAUGGAGGAACACCAGUGGCGAAAGCGGCUCUCUGGUCUGUCACUGACGCUGAGGCUCGAAAGCGUGGGUAGCGAACAGGAUUAGAUACCCUGGUAGUNCACGCCGUAAACGAUGAGUGCUAGGUGUUAGGCCCUUUCCGGGGCUUAGUGCCGGAGCUGACGCAAUAAGCACUCCGCCUGGGGAGUACGACCGCAAGGUUGAAACUCAAAGGAAUUGACGGGGGCCCGCACAAGCGGUGGAGCAUGUGGUUUAAUUCGAAGCAACGCGAAGAACCUUACCAGGUCUUGACAUCCCGAUGCUAUUCUUAGAGAUAGGAAGUUACUUCGGUACAUCGGAGACAGGUGGUGCAUGGUUGUCGUCAGCUCGUGUCGUGAGAUGUUGGGUUAAGUCCCGCAACGAGCGCAACCCUUAUUGUUAGUUGCCAUCAUUAAGUUGGGCACUCUAGCGAGACUACCGGUAAUAAACCGGAGGAAGGUGGGGAUGACGUCAAAUCAUCAUGCCCCUUAUGACCUGGGCUACACACGUGCUACAAUGGUCGGUACAACGAGUUGCGAGCCGGUGACGGCAAGCUAAUCUCUGAAAGCCGAUCUCAGUUCGGAUUGGAGGCUGCAACUCGCCUCCAUGAAGUCGGAAUCGCUAGUAAUCGCGGAUCAGCACGCCGCGGUGAAUACGUUCCCGGGCCUUGUACACACCGCCCGUCACACCACGAGAGUUUGUAACACCCGAAGUCGGUGAGGUAACCUUUUAGGGGCCAGCCGCCUAAGGUGG